GCAAAACCCAAACGUGAGGAGAGCACAGCUCCCUGCCCGCUGCAAAGGCAAAUCAUUCCUCAAAGAACAGGAAUCUGCACAGAAUUGGUUCUGUCCCCACCCAUCAGCAGCAGCACGUUCCCCUGCUGAGCAUGGAGGGAGGACUCUGCUGCUCCAUCCAAGGGAAGAUAAAGUCACCCCGUCAGGAAACUGCAAUUUCUCCUCCCUUUAUUCUGACAGGAAUCCAAAAUGACAGCGCUGUUCUAGAAGCUUUUCUCCAUGACACACUUUACAGUGAGCAACAAUUUCUUGUUUAAUAAUUAAAACCAUUCCCUGGGUAAUCACAGCAGUUCUCUGGUAUCUGAAAAAAUAACUUUAUUUUAUCAAUGAGAGCACGUGGACAAAAUUAAAUCAUCUUUCAAAACCUCUCCAAAAUCUGAAAUAUCCUCAUGUCCUUUUCCUGCACCUUUCCCAUAGGCAGGAGUACUUAAGGAGUAGACACAGCGAGGAAGACAAAAAAUGCAAAUAAGCAAAAGACUAAAUAAAAAACAUCAGGGAGAGAAUUAUUUUAUGCAAUAGAAAAGAUUUUGCUGGAGUGGGCCUUCUGCCACCCAUCCCUGCAGAACUCCUGAGGUUAUCACACUGCUCCUAGCUGAGAGAAAAACAGGUUAAUUGCACCAGAUCUGGGUUUGGAAGGAGUGAUCAUUUGUGACACAACACUGCAAGAAGGUAGUAAAUAUAUGAUGCUUCAUUGGCAGUGAUCUCAUUUGAAUAUUUACCUAAUGAGGGGGGGAUUAAACGGGUUAAUGACACAGUCACACCUGGGGAUGCCAGUUCUGCUGCCCAGCAUGGCAGGAGGGAUGGAAAUUUGGGAGAACAGGCAGCUGGUGGAAAGCUCAGUUCUUGUGCUUGCUGAUUCAUGCAAGGAGGGAAGAGAAGAGGAACAAAAAUGCGCCAGCAUGGGGAAAACAAAAGGCACCAUCUGGCUCUGAGAGAUCUGGGCUCAUCCAAACAGCAGCAGGACAGACUCCCACAUCCAGACAAGCUCUGCUGGGCUGGGAGCAACAUUCCAGCCUUGGCCUGCUCUGAUCCCACAUUCCUGAGGGAUCAAAGCACCCAACCCACCAACUCUGCUUUCCUGACAGCCCAAAGGACGGGGAGGCCUCCAGCAAGGAGAGAGCAACACUGGCAGAGAAAAGGGAGAGUUUGGAAAGUAAACUCCAUCCUUGGAUGAAUGGUGAAUGAAACGUGGAGUGAGGAUCACACAGAGCAAGUGGAGAUUUGGUCAGGUCUGAGCCUCAGUGCAGAACAAAGGCAGGGCAGCAGUGGCAUUAAACCAAACCCAGCUCAGCACAGAGCUUCUGUAGAAACACACUGGGCUAUAGGAGAUACUGCAGUCAUUUUGUAUGUCUUAUUUUAAUUAAGAUUUCAUCAUAGUUGUGUUAUUUUUCAUCAUAAAUCUCAUGGUUAAUUCUAUUUCUUUUCUCAGAUAACUGAUUUUUCAUUACUUCACCCAAAUCAACUCAAAACACCUGAUGACUGAGCAAGGCAAAAGUCUCCAACAUCAGGAUGAGACAGAAACAGACAGAGAGAGAUGCUGAGCUGGGCUUCUCUACCAGGAUUUGUCCCUUUCCUUUGGAAGAAAACAGCCCAGCAGAUGUCACUUCAGGAAGGUAGGAUCAGUCUCCCCUGUCCAGGUAAAACAUUCUACAAUUCAGAUGCAGUGCAAAUCCAGGUGUAACAGGUUACCCUCCAUCCUCAGCCCUCCCUUGCUGCAAUCUCCUGCUUUAUCGAUUCAAUACCACAUUUUCCUCCCUGGGCAACAAUAGAUUCUGCUUUAAUACCACUAACUGCAACAUUUGUGUCCACUUCAGUGGCAUUUAAAAUACUUUGUCUCCUGCAAUAACACCUCGUUUGUAGCACUCCUGUAACACUCCUGCCAUCAAUGGCACAUCUUUGUAUCAGCACUUAGAACACUUGUAAUAGAGCCCUCUAAUCUUUGAAUGGUGGAUGUUAACAAAGGAAUUUUAUCAGAAAUUCUAGGGAUUUAGGGAAUCCAGGAUUCAGUGAAGUGCAGCUCUAACACCGAGGCUGCCCUUGGGUUGUCUCUUCUCCCUUUGUGGUUUGGGACCCCAAGAGAUACAUUUAAUUAAAGUGUCCUGAGGGUUAUCCUCUGCUUCUCCCCGUGGACUGCAAACCCAUCUGGUGAGUGUUAAUUAGGUUGGCAAGCAGUCGAUUAAGCCAAAUUGCCACUUUUGUGUCCCCCAGACACUGCCCUGUGCCUGAGGGAUGACACCUGCCACAGCUGCAUUCCAGCUGUUCCCAGGGGGCUCUGAUGUGUCAGAGAAGCUCCAUUUCAGUAAUAAACAUCACUAAACAGGCCACCAAACAUACAGUGAGUCUGGGUUGUGUCCCCACCCCUUUCUUUGGAUCACAAUGUCAAGCUCUUCAAAACAUUAAAUGUGAAAUAUUUUUUUCAAAGCCUCGUAAAAGGAAGUUUUAAAGGUAAAUUGCACAAUUCCUACAGCUGACCCCAACCCUGUGGAGACUCCUGUGAAACUGGGAGCAUUAGUAAUGCUGUAACAAUCUGCAUUUCACUUACAAGUGUCCUGUUAAAAACAGACAGAGAACUCUUUCAAUAUUCACUUUAGUACCUAAAUCCUGUCAGCUUCUCCCAAGACAUUUCUGGUCAAUGAAAGCUCUACCAGGAGCAUGGAGCAAGCCAGAAUCCCAUAGGUUUUACCACAAUCAUUUAUUCAAAGUUUGGUUUCAUUUGUCUCACCUGAAAGACAAACAGAAUUAAACAGACAUGCAACACUGCCUGUGAAAAAUGAAGCAGUUAUCCUUUACAGUGCAAGAGUGUAAAGCUUGAUUUAUUUACACAUUUUAAAGUGACAGGAGAACGUUGGAGGCAGAUCAUUUCAUACAUUCAGCUGUGCUCCACAGAGUGCAGUUACACAUAAAACACACUGAGGAUGUUUGAAGUGCUCUGGCCAGAGAUGUCAGCUCUGGUAAGGAAGGCAGGGAUGAACCCAAGGAUUUCUCCAGGUGCUGAGAAAUCCCUUCCAUUUGGAGUCUGGGGUGCUGUGCCACGUGCAGGGUCCUGCAUGAACCCUGCAGCGCUGACAUUCGCAGAUCAGAGUGUGCUGGACAACACCUACAUAAUUUUUCACCCUGGAAUGUGGCACAGGGCUCCUCUCCUUUAAACCUUGCUGUGCUGCUCUGCUGUAAAUAUUUGCUGCAGUCCCAGGCAUGGCCACUGUCACCUCAGACUGACAAAUAUUCUGUGAAAAGCUCAGUGUGAGGGUGCAAAACCCUUCCUGUUGCAGCUUCUCUGGACUAGAAGGGAGGUGAGGAGUUUAAUUCACUCCUGAAAGAGCACAGAAGUCCUUCAGUCAAGUUUAAACAACACACUUGGUUUCUCUGGGCCCUGCUCAUGCCUUUUCUUAGGCUGAAGAGCAGAAAAUAACAUUUUUUGGAAAACUGGGAGAAAAAGCAAGAAAGAGGAAUAUGCAUAAAAUAAAAAAAAAAAACCCAAACAAACAAAAUCAACCUUAUUUUGAGAUUCCAGUGUUGAACAGCAGCAGCAAAGAGGAGUGAGGUGCAGUCCCUCAGUCCUACCCCUACAUCAGUGAUGGAGCUGAGGCCCAUGGCCAAGGAACAGCCCAGGCUCCACUGCUGUGGCACAGUGAUCAAAAACAUUGUGAUUGAUGUGCUGGAGAAACAGACACCACCUCCAGUGCAGGCCUUUGGCAGGGAAGUUUCCAGAAGCAAACAAAGGAAGAUUUCCCUGUGGCUGCAGGUAAAGGGAACUGUCAUUAUUAAGUAGAAUUAUUUGAGCACACGGAGCCUGUGUAAAUAAAACAUGGUUAUGUAAAGCUUUGGAUUUAGAAUCUUUGCAAAGAAAGGGCCAAAGCCACACAAUAGCACAAAAGCUCAGCUCGUGGCUGGGAGCAGUUUCACUCAGAGAAGGGCUGAGGGCUCUGUGAAGGGAACAAGGGCUCAGGAGAAUUGGGGAGUUUACAGCAAAACCAGCCCUGAACAGGAGGCACAGCCACAGCUCUGUCCCCUGGCUGUGUCCAUCACUCAGGGCUGUGCUGAGGAGGAAAACCCAACCCCAAAUCCAGGGCUGCCAAGUCUGUGCUGGGUUUAAUCACUGCUGAGAGCUGGGACCAUCACUGAUCUGGGUGUCAGCAGCCAUUUAGGCCCUUCUGAAUGAUUUCCCACCACUCAAUUAAGCACAGAGAACAUUGCCAUGGAACAAGUGUGUGGUGGCACAGCUUGUUUUCAGACACUGUGUUCUGUGGCUGCAGAACCAAUAGGUCACAACAGGUUGAUGAAAUGGGAAGAGAUAAGGAAAGGCAGCAUUCCUGUGCCCUUCCCAUGCAGCCUCAUUGUGCAUUGUUAAUGAACAAAAGCUGCCCAUAAAUUCACCAACAAUCCAUGGCCACAUCCAAAGGCACUCAAUCAGUGUCACUGCACCCCAGCAGAUGAAUGCUCUGGCAGCAGGAGCCCAUUAACAUCCUUAUCUUGCUUAAUCACAAAUCAAGGAUUGAGGGUGAAAGCCAAGCUGUCAUUUCUUGAGGUUUCCCAAGUUGCAGUGCAGGGGAUGCCACUGAUAAGAUCUGAAUUGUGCCCAGCUGGUGAAGGAACCCGGGUACAGCCCCUGGGCACCUCCCCUGGCAGGGGAAGGUUAUUUCUCUAAGCUGCACAAAAAUGCCAGAGCAAUCCAAAGCAUGCCCAGAUUGAAUCAGUCUGGCAAAGCAAACAAAUGCAAAGGAACAGUUCUGUUGUCAUUUACAACAACAAGAACCUGGAAUAAUCAUGUGCAGGUCAGGGGAGUUGUUGGGAAUUUCUGGCAGUGGGAACAGAAACUGGCCAUGAGUCAAUUUAACAAAUAAAAAUAAAAAUAAAUAAAUGCAGAAAGCCACCAUUCCAAAUCUAAGAUAAUCCCAAACUGCCUGGUAUGGGGGAAUCACUUAAAUAUACACAGAACAUGAGCACUAUUCCUUCCAAAUAAAGUUCCAGGGUCCUGGAGACUCCACUGUGCAGACAGCCCAGACCACACUGAGUGGACUUAAAAUUCAGUUUCUCAGAAAAAAAACCCCAAUUUUAGAGCAGCCAGUGCUAUCAAAGUGCAGGAUAAGCAGUGAAUGUUGUACUUUCUCCUCAAGUGACAGUUCCCCAUUGUCCCCCCGGGUCCAUUCUCCCUCAGUAUCAGCUCCUGGCCAUCUCCUGGAAGCUGGGAAGAUAAAUAUCAAAGUACACAAAGCUCCAUUAUCCUCACGGGCCUCAGUGAGUGCUGGGCAACUUCUCUCCUUAGGUCAUCCACAGUAGUAGACAAGUAUUGGUUUUCCUUUUUU